GGAAAGUAGCUUGCUACUUUUGCCGGCGAGCGGCGGACGGGUGAGUAAUGCCUGGGGAUCUGCCCAGUCGAGGGGGAUAACUACUGGAAACGGUAGCUAAUACCGCAUACGCCCUACGGGGGAAAGCAGGGGACCUUCGGGCCUUGCGCGAUUGGAUGAACCCAGGUGGGAUUAGCUAGUUGGUGAGGUAAUGGCUCACCAAGGCGACGAUCCCUAGCUGGUCUGAGAGGAUGAUCAGCCACACUGGAACUGAGACACGGUCCAGACUCCUACGGGAGGCAGCAGUGGGGAAUAUUGCACAAUGGGGGAAACCCUGAUGCAGCCAUGCCGCGUGUGUGAAGAAGGCCUUCGGGUUGUAAAGCACUUUCAGCGAGGAGGAAAGGUUGGUAGCU
rnacentral:rRNA from 1 species